UACAGAGGUCCCAAGCGUUGUUCGGAUUCCCUGGGCGUAAAGGGUGCGUAGGUGGUGAGGUAAGUCGGAUGUGAAAUCUCCGGGCUCAACCCGGAAAUGGCAUUGGAAACUACCUUGCUGGAGGAUUUGAGGGGGGAUUGGAAUACUUGGUGUAGCAGUGAAAUGCGUAGAUAUCAAGUGGAACACCAGUGGCGAAGGCGAAUCCCUGGAAAAUACCUGACACUGAGGCACGAAAGCUAGGGGAGCAAACAGG
rnacentral:rRNA from 1 species